GACGUAGGGCGCGAGCGUUGUCCGGAUUUAUUGGGCGUAAAGAGCUCGUAGGCGGCUUGUCGCGUCGUCCGUGAAAACCUGGGGCUCAACCCCAGGCUUGCGGUCGAUACGGGCAGGCUCGAGUUCGGUAGGGGAGACUGGAAUUCCUGGUGUAGCGGUGAAAUGCGUAGAGAUCGGGAGGAACACCAGUGGCGAAGGCGGCCGGCUGGGGGUGACCUGACGCUGAGGCGCGAAAGCGUGGGGAGCGAACCGG
rnacentral:rRNA from 1 species